GUGAUUGCAGGGAUCUGACUCUAGGACAAGUUUCCAAGAUAGGUUAAGGAGUCUCCAUCCCUGAAGAUGAAAAUUUUGCUGAGUUUGUGGUGUGCGAGGAUGCAAUGCUCCAGCAGUGAAUGCUGCAGUAAGAAAUGGUCUUCAAGCAAUGUCAAGAAAGUGAUGUGAUUUGAUUCAUGGAAGGAGAGUGAAACUCAUUGCUGCUAAUCAUAGAAACACCCAAAGAACCUUAAUAAAAAUUGAUUUGAGUUUCAUUGACAAAGACCAAGUUCUGAGGGGAAUAUUUUGCCUUUUUUUUUUUCUCCUUUAUACUUUGGUAUAUGUUCUUUACUUCAUCAUUUGCAGUUUGGGUUUUUGUUUUGGUUUGGGGUUUUUUUUUAUUUGUUUUGGGUUUUUUUUGUUUCACCCUUAUAUAUCAUCUUCUCUGGGAGAGAUGGAAAGUGGUAGAAUGGGCAAGAUAUUUUUCUAAGAACCUCCCUUUUGAGAUUUUUUUAAGAGGCAAGAUAGAUACAUAUCUUAAAAAGUAAUAAUAAAAAACAUUGUUAAACACCA